rnacentral:misc_RNA from 1 species
AAGUCGUAACAAGGUAACCGUAGGUGAACCUGCGGUUGGAUCAUUAACAAAAUACUUGCCCUUGCGCUUUCCCCUGGGAUUGAGCAAGAGUAAAGACCCCAUUUGUGAACCUGUAUAGUGCCUUUCGGGGCCAUUUUCAACAAGAUUUUUUUAUUGUACAACACAAAAAGUUAAUUAAAAAACAACUUUUGGCAACGGAUCUCUAGGCUCUU